UAGAAAGUGGUGUAGUGGAAGCACAAAGAGUUUUGAGCUCUUUGGGGAGGGUUCGAGACCCUUUUUUCUAA
ensembl:Mt_tRNA